rnacentral:sRNA from 1 species
AUUAACGUGAUUUAACAUGAAGUAACGUGAUUGCUCAUGACCUUGAGACUCAUUACGAUUAACAUUCUCCCAUGAUUUAGGAAAUCCUAAAUUGUUAACAUUUCUCCUUAACCGAACUGUGCAAACAGAUUCGUUGUUCUACGCAAUGGUCACCCCAAUCAUUGCGUAUUUUUUUGCCUAAAGUUUUU